GGUUAAGCGACUAAGCGUACACGGUGGAUGCCCUGGCAGUCAGAGGCGAUGAAGGACGUGCUAAUCUGCGAUAAGCGUCGGUGAGGUGAUAUGAACCGUUAUAACCGGCGAUUUCCGAAUGGGGAAACCCAGUGUGUUUCGACACACUAUCAUUAACUGAAUCCAUAGGUUAAUGAGGCGAACCGGGGGAACUGAAACAUCUAAGUACCCCGAGGAAAAGAAAUCAACCGAGAUUCCCCCAGUAGCGGCGAGCGAACGGGGAGGAGCCCAGAGCCUGAAUCAGUGUGUGUGUUAGUGGAAGCGUCUGGAAAGGCGUGCGAUACAGGGUGACAGCCCCGUACACAAAAAUGCACAUAUUGUGAGCUCGAUGAGUAGGGCGGGACACGUGGUAUCCUGUCUGAAUAUGGGGGGACCAUCCUCCAAGGCUAAAUACUCCUGACUGACCGAUAGUGAACCAGUACCGUGAGGGAAAGGCGAAAAGAACCCCGGCGAGGGGAGUGAAAAAGAACCUGAAACCGUGUACGUACAAGCAGUGGGAGCCUCUUAAUGGGGUGACUGCGUACCUUUUGUAUAAUGGGUCAGCGACUUAUAUUCUGUAGCAAGGUUAACCGAAUAGGGGAGCCGAAGGGAAACCGAGUCUUAACUGGGCGUUAAGUUGCAGGGUAUAGACCCGAAACCCGGUGAUCUAGCCAUGGGCAGGUUGAAGGUUGGGUAACACUAACUGGAGGACCGAACCGACUAAUGUUGAAAAAUUAGCGGAUGACUUGUGGCUGGGGGUGAAAGGCCAAUCAAACCGGGAGAUAGCUGGUUCUCCCCGAAAGCUAUUUAGGUAGCGCCUCGUGAAUUCAUCUCCGGGGGUAGAGCACUGUUUCGGCAAGGGGGUCAUCCCGACUUACCAACCCGAUGCAAACUGCGAAUACCGGAGAAUGUUAUCACGGGAGACACACGGCGGGUGCUAACGUCCGUCGUGAAGAGGGAAACAACCCAGACCGCCAGCUAAGGUCCCAAAGUCAUGGUUAAGUGGGAAACGAUGUGGGAAGGCCCAGACAGCCAGGAUGUUGGCUUAGAAGCAGCCAUCAUUUAAAGAAAGCGUAAUAGCUCACUGGUCGAGUCGGCCUGCGCGGAAGAUGUAACGGGGCUAAACCAUGCACCGAAGCUGCGGCAGCGACACUAUGUGUUGUUGGGUAGGGGAGCGUUCUGUAAGCCUGUGAAGGUGGCCUGUGAGGGUUGCUGGAGGUAUCAGAAGUGCGAAUGCUGACAUAAGUAACGAUAAAGCGGGUGAAAAGCCCGCUCGCCGGAAGACCAAGGGUUCCUGUCCAACGUUAAUCGGGGCAGGGUGAGUCGACCCCUAAGGCGAGGCCGAAAGGCGUAGUCGAUGGGAAACAGGUUAAUAUUCCUGUACUUGGUGUUACUGCGAAGGGGGGACGGAGAAGGCUAUGUUGGCCGGGCG
rnacentral:rRNA from 1 species